rnacentral:rRNA from 1 species
UACGUAGGGUGCGAGCGUUAAUCGGAAUUACUGGGCGUAAAGCGUGCGCAGGCGGUUCUCCAAGUCCGUUGUGAAAGCCCCGGGCUCAACCUGGGAAUGGCAGUGGAAACUAGGGGACUUGAAUCUGGCAGAGGGGGGUGGAAUUCCACGUGUAGCAGUGAAAUGCGUAGAGAUGUGGAGGAACACCGAUGGCGAAGGCAGCCCCCUGGGCUGAGAUUGACGCUCAGGCACGAAAGCGUGGGGAGCGAACAGGA